rnacentral:rRNA from 3 species
AUAGCGAACAAGUACCGUGAGGGAAAGUUGAAAAGCACUCUGGAGAGAGAGUCAAAAGACCGUGAAACCGCUCAGAGUAUAAGCCCAUGGCAGCUUGGAAGGCAUAUCGCUAGCGGGGCAUCGGUCUCCCUUCACGGGGAGCUGGUGUUACCUUGCUUCUGUUGUGGCUCGUUAUGGUAGGGGGGUCAGGUCCACAUCCCGCCGUCGUGUGGGGAGUUCUCGGGCGUGUCGCGGUCUUGCGGUUGACUUCGGUUGGCCGUGGGGCUCUUCGUGCUUGGUUCUUCUUUAGACACGGACGUUCAGACUCAGUUGCAAGACGCGAUAACCAGCCCACCACGGCACGUUGUGAGGUCACCCUCAGGCUCGACUUUCGAUUGUGGUCCUUGACGCCGAGCAAGCACUGUGCGUGUCGCAGAUUUCCUAACCAGGCAAAACUCGUUUGUCAGGAUCGUGGAACGACACGCGCUCAACAGUCAGGACCGGGCGAUGACAGAGUUCUGGUAAGAUCCUCAUGCGACGAGCCGCCUUCUGGCCGAUUUCCGAUGCUCAGGUCUCCCGCAUGUGCCGCGGGAGAUCGCUUUGACGGUCUGGAGCUUUCACAAGUCCUCUCAGUCGGGCAACGGAAAGAGUGGUGUAAAGUCCAAGCCCAUCGGUCACGUCUCGAAACACGGGCCAAGGAGUAUAGCAUGUGUGCAAGUCUAAGGGUCUCACAAAACCCGAAGGCGAAGUGAAAGCAAGUAUGCGGCGGGUGAUCUA